ACAGGUUUUCAAUUUGCAGAAAACUUCAUUAGGCAAUCAGAUCAGACACUUCUACUACAUAGUUAGGUCAAGAAGAAUAAGCUUACACAGGUGUUUCUUCAUCUUCCACCAUUAAUGCAAACACCAAUUUCCUAACAGUGGAGAGACCAAGUUGCCACCUACCUUGGUGGGAUCUCAAUAUUCAUUGUUUUAUGGCUGCUGUGUUGUCCCUUGGAAUUGGUAUAGCAAUUGUGCCUCGACAAGUGAUGCCGUGGACUGGUUUACUCUUGAUGUAUGAGUGGACGUUUACGAUCUUCUUUCUUUUGUUCGGAGCUUUUAUUCAUUUGAUUUAUAAGUGGGGAAGGAGAACUGCCACUCGAUUAGGAUCAGUUUCCUCUUAUACUGAUUCUUUUGAUUCUGAUUCUCAAAAAGGUCAUCAGCCGCAUGCAUCCUUUGUGAUGUUGCUACUUGGUACUACCGGUUCGGGAUGGCAUUUUUGGCUAUCGCCGCCCCAUCUUUACCAUGUAUUUUUGGGUUCACUGCUCUGUUCUUAAGGU